AGUCGGCCUCUGUCAGUCACCUGUGUUUAAUAUGAGAAACGCCGUUUUAGAGUAAGUAAAGCUAACGCAUUUUUAUAAUAUUUAUUAGCGUUUAAAACCGUGAAUCUAGAGUAACUAAAGCAAACUGAGUGGAUUCCGAACUGAGAGAAGCUAAGAAAAGAGGACUAAUGGACGUUUAUUUUAAUUAAUUAUCACCUGUUAACAACAACCCGACUACUGCAGCCUCGUACCCGGGUGUUUCACUGGUUCAGCACUUUCUCCAUUUCAUCUGAAGACCACCUCAACACAGCAAAGAUUGGUGGGACCUCUUCAGUGUUCAUGCAUGCCCCUUGCAAUGGAAAGUCAGUGAACUCAGGCAGGGCUCCUUUACACAGGUGUGAGACGAGAUACCUUUCUUCCAAACCCUCAGAAAAAAGCAGCAGAAGAAAACUGCAGAUAAGCUUUAAUGCUAUAAAAUUAAUCUCUUUGUUAUUCUGCAUGAUGUUUGAUUGUCACUGUGUUAAUCAAAGUCUUACUGAAGAUGAGUUUCUCUCUUCAUCUCCAGUUUUGGAAGAAUCUGGUAAUGACUCACUUGUUUCUGCAGUAAAGAGCCAUGCAGGCCACUCCCAGCAAGCUGAUUCCCAUGGCGAUGGUGAAGAUUGACAGGAUCUGCCUCUGGUACGUCUCUCCACUCUCUAAUAAAACAGAAUGGGGGAAGAUCCA
rnacentral:lncRNA from 1 species